rnacentral:rRNA from 1 species
GACGGAGGGUGCGAACGUUGUUCGGAAUUACUGGGCGUAAAGCGCGUGUAGGCGGCAGCGUGUGUCGGGCGUGAAAUCCCACGGCUCAACCGUGGAAGUGCACUCGAAACUGCGCAGCUAGAGUCCUGGAGAGGAAGGUGGAAUGCUUGGUGUAGAGGUGAAAUUCGUAGAUAUCAAGCGGAACACCGGUGGCGAAGGCGGCCUUCUGGACAGUGACUGACGCUGAGACGCGAAAGCUAGGGUAGCAAACGGG